rnacentral:tRNA from 1 species
CUUCCGUCCCAGAGCAUAUCCAAUCUMAAAAAUGUUUUGAACAAAUAUCCAAAUAUUAUUAUUAAAUAGACA